UACGGAGGAUCCAAGCGUUAUCCGGAUUUACUGGGCGUAAAGCGCACGUAGGCGGAUUGUUAAGUCAGGGGUGAAAUCCCGGAGCUCAACUCCGGAACUGCCUUUGAUACUGGCAAUCUUGAGGCUGGAAGAGGUUAGUGGAAUUCCCAGUGUAGAGGUGAAAUUCGUAGAUAUUGGGAAGAACACCAGUGGCGAAGGCGGCUAACUGGUCCAGAUCUGACGCUGAGGUGCGAAAGCGUGGGGAGCAAACAGG
rnacentral:rRNA from 1 species